rnacentral:rRNA from 1 species
GUGAGGAAUAUUGCGCAAUGGAGGCAACUCUGACGCAGCCAUGCCGCGUGCAGGAAGAAGGCGCUACGCGUUGUAAACUGCUUUUAACCGGGAAGAAACCCCAGGACGUGUCCUGGGUUGACGGUACCGGAGGAAUAAGCACCGGCUAACUUCGUGCCAGCAGCCGCGGUAAUACGAAGGGUGCAAGCGUUAUCCGGAUUCAUUGGGUUUAAAGGGUGCGUAGGCGGAGCGUUAAGUCAGUGGUGAAAUCCUGCAGCUUAACUGUAGACUUGCCAUUGAUACUGGCGCUCUUGAGUGCGCUUGAAGUGGGCGGAAUGUGCCGUGUAGCGGUGAAAUGCUUAGAUAUGGCACAGAACACCAAUUGCGAAGGCAGCUCACUAAGGCGAUACUGACGCCGAGGCACGAAAGCGUGGGGAUCGAACAGGAUUAGAUACCCGAGUAGUCC